UACGGGAGGCAGCAGGGGGAAUAUUGCACAAUGGGCGCAAGCCUGAUGCAGCCAUGCCGCGUGUAUGAAGAAGGCCUUCGGGUUGUAAAGUACUUUCAGUCGUGAGGAAGGUGUUAAGGUUAAUAACCUUAGCAAUUGACGUUAGCGACAGAAGAAGCACCGGCUAACUCCGUGCCAGCAGCCGCGGUAAUACGGAGGGUGCGAGCGUUAAUCGGAAUUACUGGGCGUAAAGGGCACGCAGGCGGUUAAUUAAGUUGGAUGUGAAAUCCCCGGGCUUAACCUGGGAAUGGCAUUCAAGACUGGUUAGCUAGAGUCUUGUAGAGGGGGUAGAAUUCCGAUGUGUAGCGGUGAAAUGCGUAGAGAUGUGGAGGAAUACCGGUGGCGAAGGCGGCCCCUGGACAAAGACUGACGCUCAUGUGCGAAAGCGUGGGGAGCAAACGAGGGAUUAGAU
rnacentral:rRNA from 1 species